rnacentral:rRNA from 1 species
AUGAACGCUGGCGGCGUGCUUAAUACAUGCAAGUCGAACGGAGAUAGUAGCAAUAUUAUCUUAGUGGCGAACGGGUGAGUAACGCGUUGGUGACCUGCCCCGAAGAGAGGGAUAGCAGUUCGAAAGGACUGAUAAUACCUCAUGUGGUUGUCGGUUUUAGAAUCUGAUAACUAAACGGAUUUAUUCGCUUCGGGAGGGGCCUGCGUCCCAUCAGCUAGUUGGUAGGGUAAUGGCCUACCAAGGCUAUGACGGGUAGGGGACCUGAGAGGGUGGCCCCCCACAAUGGAACUGAAACACGGUCCAUACACCUACGGGUGGCAGCAGUAGGGAAUAUUGGACAAUGGGCGAAAGCCUGAUCCAGCAACGCCGCGUGCACGAUGACGGCCUUCGGGUUGUAAAGUGCUUUUAAGGGAGAUGAGAAAGGACAGUAUCCCUUGAAUAAGCCUCGGCGAACUACGU